UACGUAGGGUGCAAGCGUUAAUCGGAAUUACUGGGCGUAAAGCGUGCGCAGGCGGUUGUGCAAGACCGAUGUGAAAUCCCCGGGCUCAACCUGGGAACUGCAUUUGUGACUGUAUAGCUAGAGUACGGUAGAGGGGGAUGGAAUUCCGCGUGUAGCAGUGAAAUGCGUAGAUAUGCGGAGGAACACCGAUGGCGAAGGCAAUCCCCUGGACCUGUACUGACGCUCAUGCACGAAAGCGUGGGGAGCAAACAGG
rnacentral:rRNA from 1 species